rnacentral:rRNA from 1 species
UACGAAGGGGGCUAGCGUUGCUCGGAAUCACUGGGCGUAAAGGGUGCGUAGGCGGGUCUUUAAGUCAGGGGUGAAAUCCUGGAGCUCAACCCCGAAACUGCACUUGAUACUGCCUCGCUUGAGUACUGGAGAGGAGACUGGAAUUUACGGUGUAGCAGUGAAAUGCGUAGAUAUCGUAAGGAAGACCAGUGGCGAAGGCGAGUCUCUGGACAGUUACUGACGCUGAGGCACGAAGGCCAGGGGAGCAAACGGG